rnacentral:misc_RNA from 1 species
UACGGGGGGUGCAAGCGUUAUUCGGAAUUAUUGGGCGUAAAGGGCGCGUAGGCGGCUUCUUAAGUCAGAUGUGAAAUCCCGGGGCUUAACCCCGGAAGUGCAUUUGAAACUAAGGAGCUUGAGUAUGGGAGAGGGAAGUGGAAUUCCUGGUGUAGAGGUGAAAUUCGUAGAUAUCAGGAGGAACACCGGUGGCGAAGGCGACUUCCUGGACCAAUACUGACGCUGAGGCGCGAAGGCGUGGGGAGCAAACAGG